UGACCUCAGAUCAGGCAAGGCAACCCGCUGAAUUUAAGCAUAUUAAUAAGCGGAGGAAAAGAAACUAACAAGGAUUCCCCUAGUAAUGGCGAAUGAAGCGGGAACAGCUCAAAUUUGAAAUCUCCGUUGCUUGCAACGGCGAAUUGUAGUUUCGAGAAGCACUUUCUCGGCGGAUCCGAGGUCGUCCAAGUUGCUUGGAACAGCACGUCGUAGAGGGUGACAACCCCGUCUGCGGCGACCUCGGCCGUUCACGAUGUGCUUUCGACGAGUCGGGUUGUUUGAGAAUGCAGCCCAAAAUGGGUGGUAAACUCCAUCUAAAGCUAAAUAUUGGCACGAGACCGAUAGCGAACAAGUACCGUGAGGGAAAGAUGAAAAGCACUUUGAAAAGAGAGUUAAAAAGUACGUGAAACCGUUAAAAGGGAAACGAAUGGGGUUAGCAAUGCGUCGUGCAAGAUUCAGCCGGUGGGUGGGCCAGGCGGGCGGUUGGCGGAUCUGAAUGGACCGCUGCCGUUCGGGUUGGUUUCCCGACCGUCGCACUUCUCGCAGGCGCGCGCCAACGUCGGUUAGGGCUGGGUUUCAAAGGCGGUGGAAGAGUAGGUUUGGACUCUCGGGCCCUAACUGUUGCAGUCCUCCGUUUGUCAUGGCCCGGACCUGACCGAGGAGCUUGCGGUGCAUGCCGUUCGGCUAGGGUCCCGUCUUCCCGGUCGGUCGUCGAAUGCGGUGGACUGCGUGCAGUGCGCCGCGACUGCUGCCGGUCACGAGGGCGGUGAUUUCGUACUAUGCACCCACGACGUUGGCGAUCAUAUGGCCUCAUCCGACCCGUCUUGAAACACGGACCAAGGAGUCUAACAUGUGUGCGAGUCUUUAAGUGAUCGAAACUCCGAGGCGAAAUGAAAGUGAAGGCGACCUCGGUCGCUGAGGUGAGAGCCUUUUACAAAAAUAGGCGCAUCAUUGACCGACCUAUUCUACUCUUAGAAAGGUUUGAGUAAGAGCGCAUCUGUUGGGACCCGAAAGAUGGUGAACUAUGCCUGAAUAGGGUGAAGCCAGAGGAAACUCUGGUGGAGGCUCGUAGCGAUUCUGACGUGCAAAUCGAUCGUCAAAUUUGGGUAUAGGGGCGAAAGACUAAUCGAACUGUGUAGUAGCUGGUUCCCUCCGAAGUUUCCCUCAGGAUAGCUGGAACUUACGGCAGUUUUAUCAGGUAAAGCGAAUGGGGAUCCUCAGAGUCGAC
rnacentral:ncRNA from 1 species